rnacentral:lncRNA from 1 species
CUAGGGGCUGCAAUUUGAUUUUGCCACCUUCCCUUUCUCUUAACAAAAGUGCUGUUUGACAUAUAUUUCAUGUUUAGUUCCAUGAAUUAAACUUUGUUUUGUUUGGAGAAUCUGGAGAGACUCUCACACCUCAUUUGAGACCCAGUACAGUGGACCACUGGACCCAGAUGCCUGCCAAGGGGCACCCUGGAAGGGGCUCUGGACCCAGCUCAAGAGACUAUGGUACCCAGUCAUCCUGUCAAACACUAAUCCAG